rnacentral:rRNA from 1 species
UUAUGGCUCAGGAUGAACGCUAGCGACAGGCUUAACACAUGCAAGUCGAGGGGCAGCAUAGAAGUAGCAAUACUUGGUGGCGACCGGCGCACGGGUGAGUAACGCGUAUGCAACCUACCUAUCAGAGGGGAAUAACCCGGCGAAAGUCGGACUAAUACCGCAUAAAACAGGGGCACCGCAUGGUGAUAUUUGUUAAAGAAAUUCGCUGAUAGAUGGGCAUGCGUUCCAUUAGGUAGUUGGUGAGGUAACGGCUCACCAAGCCGACGAUGGAUAGGGGAACUGAGAGGUUGGUCCCCCACACUGGUACUGAGACACGGACCAGACUCCUACGGGAGGCAGCAGUGAGGAAUAUUGGUCAAUGGGCGGGAGCCUGAACCAGCCAAGUCCGCGUGAAGGAAGAAGGAUCUAUGGUUCGUAAACUUCUUUUGCAGGGGAAUAAAGUGCAGGACGUGUCCUGUUUUGUAUGUACCCUGAGAAUAAGGAUCGGCUAACUCCGUGCCAGCCGCGGC